rnacentral:rRNA from 1 species
GGCUUAGAGUUUGAUCAUGGCUCAGGAUGAACGCUGGCGGCGUGCCUAACACAUGCAAGUCGAGCGAAGCGCUUAAAUUAGAUUUCUUCGGAAUGACGAUUUUUGUGACUGAGCGGCGGACGGGUGAGUAACGCGUGGGUAACCUGCCUCAUACAGGGGGAUAACAGUUAGAAAUGACUGCUAAUACCGCAUAAGACCCCAGCUUCGCAUGAAGCGGUGGUAAAAACUCCGGUGGUAUGAGAUGGACCCGCGUCUGAUUAGCUAGUUGGUAAGGUAACGGCUUACCAAGGCGACGAUCAGUAGCCGACCUGAGAGGGUGACCGGCCACAUUGGGACUGAGACACGGCCCAGACUCCUACGGGAGGCAGCAGUGGGGAAUAUUGCACAAUGGGGGAAACCCUGAUGCAGCGACGCCGCGUGAAGGAUGAAGUAUUUCGGUAUGUAAACUUCUAUCAGCAGGGAAGAAAGUGACGGUACCUGACUAAGAAGCCCCGGCUAACUACGUGCCAGCAGCCGCGGUAAUACGUAGGGGGCAAGCGUUAUCCGGAUUUACUGGGUGUAAAGGGAGCGUAGACGGGAUAGCAAGUCUGAAGUGAAAGCCCGGGGCUCAACCCCGGGACUGCUUUGGGAAACUGUUGACCUGGAGUGCUGGAGAGGCAAGUG